rnacentral:rRNA from 1 species
UGGCGGCAGGCCUAACACAUGCAAGUCGAGCGGUAACAUUUCUAGCUUGCUAGUAGAUGACGAGCGGCGGACGGGUGAGUAACGCGUAGAAAUCUACCUAGUAGUGGGGGAUAGCCCAGAGAAAUUUGGAUUAAUACCGCAUACGCCCUACGGGGGAAAGCGGGGGAUCUUCGGACCUCGUGCUAUUAGAUGAGUCUGCGUCGGAUUAGCUUGUUGGUGAGGUAAUGGCUCACCAAGGCGACGAUCCGUAGCUGGUCUGAGAGGAUGACCAGCCACACUGGAACUGAGACACGGUCCAGACUCCUACGGGAGGCAGCAGUGGGGAAUAUUGCACAAUGGGCGCAAGCCUGAUGCAGCCAUGCCGCGUGUGUGAAGAAGGCCUUAGGGUUGUAAAGCACUUUCAGCAGUGAGGAAAGGGGUGUCGUUAAUAGCGCCAUCCUGUGACGUUAACUGCAGAAGAAGGACCGGCUAACUCCGUG